rnacentral:rRNA from 1 species
CGGGGUGCAGCAGGCGCGAAAACUUUACAAUGCUGGCAACAGCGAUAAGGGGACCUUGAGUGCCAGGAUACAAUCCUGGCUGUCGUGAUGCCUAAAAAGCAUUAUAUAGCAAGGGCCGGGCAAGACCGGUGCCAGCCGCCGCGGUAACACCGGCGGCUCGAGUGGUAACCGCUAUUAUUGGGUCUAAAGGGUCUGUAGCCGGCUUGGUUAGUCUCUUGGGAAAUCCGGCAGCUUAACUGUCGGGCUUUCAGGAGAUACUGCCAGGCUCGAGACCGGGAGGGGUGAGAGGUACUUCAUGGGUAGGGGUGAAAUCUUGUAAUCCUUGAAGGACCACCAGUGGCGAAGGCGUCUCACCAGAACGGAUCUGACGGCAAGGGACGAAAGCUAGGGGCACGAACCGGAUUAGAUACCCGGGUAGUCCUAGCCGUAAACGAUACUCGCUAGGUGUCGGCCACGGUGCGACCGUGGUCGGUGCCGUAGGGAAGCCGUGAAGCGAGCCACCUGGGAAGUACGGCCGCAAGGCUGAAACUUAAAGGAAUUGGCGGGGGAGCACAAGGGCAAUUCGC